rnacentral:rRNA from 1 species
GAUGAACGCUGGCGGCGUGCCUAAUACAUGCAAGUCGAACGCACAGCGAAAGGUGCUUGCACCUUUCAAGUGAGUGGCGAACGGGUGAGUAACACGUGGACAACCUGCCUCAAGGCUGGGGAUAACAUUUGGAAACAGAUGCUAAUACCGAAUAAAACUUAGUGUCGCAUGACACAAAGUUAAAAGGCGCUUUGGCGUCACCUAGAGAUGGAUCCGCGGUGCAUUAGUUAGUUGGUGGGGUAAAGGCCUACCAAGACAAUGAUGCAUAGCCGAGUUGAGAGACUGAUCGGCCACAUUGGGACUGAGACACGGCCCAAACUCCUACGGGAGGCUGCAGUAGGGAAUCUUCCACAAUGGGCGAAAGCCUGAUGGAGCAACGCCGCGUGUGUGAUGAAGGCUUUCGGGUCGUAAAGCACUGUUGUAUGGGAAGAACAGCUAGAAUAGGAAAUGAUUUUAGUUUGACGGUACCAUACCAGAAAGGGACGGCUAAAUACGUGCCAGCAGCCGCGGUAAUACGUAUGUCCCGAGCGUUAUCCGGAUUUAUUGGGCGUAAAGCGAGCGCAGACGGUUUAUUAAGUCUGAUGUGAAAGCCCGGAGCUCAACUCCGGAAUGGCAUUGGAAACUGGUUAACUUGAGUGUUGUAGAGGUAAGUGGAACUC